rnacentral:tRNA from 1 species
GCCCAGACGGUGUGAGGUCGAAGCACACUCCGUAGAUGCUACGGAGGGGCGGGAGUUCAAAUCUCCCUCUGGGAAC